CAGCAAUACACCAUCAACAGGUCGACCAGCAGAGGACGCUCACAACACCAUUCUGAGCAUCAGCAUCCCACCAUCACUUAUCUACUCUGGAGUAGAAACAAAGGGUGACGCCUCAGCAGUGGUGGAGUGCUCUGUGGAGGGGACCUCUCUUCAGUGUGAGCUCGGGAACCCUUUCAGAAGCAACAACAAGGUUCAGGUUCUGAUCAAAUUUCAGCCAUCUGAGAUCAGUUUGGACACACGGGAGAUCCAGUCUGUGCUGC
rnacentral:lncRNA from 1 species